GUGGGGAAUAUUGGGCAAUGGGGGAAACCCUGACCCAGCAACGCCGCGUGAAGGAAGAAGGUUUUCGGAUCGUAAACUUCUAUCCUUGGUGAAAACAAUGAUGGUAGCCAAGAAGGAAGCCCCGGCUAACUACGUGCCAGCAGCCGCGGUAAUACGUAGGGGGCGAGCGUUGUCCGGAAUGAUUGGGCGUAAAGGGCGCGUAGGCGGCGCGGCAAGUCCGGAGUGAAAGUCCUGCUUUUAAGGUGGGAAUUGCUUUGGAAACUGUCGAGCUUGAGUGCAGGAGAGGUAAGCGGAAUUCCCGGUGUAGCGGUGAAAUGCGUAGAGAUCGGGAGGAACACCAGUGGCGAAGGCGGCUUACUGGACUGUAACUGACGCUGAGGCGCGAAAGUGUGGGGAGCAAACAGGAUUAGAAACCCUGGUAGUCC
rnacentral:rRNA from 1 species